UUACCAUCAUUAAGUUGGGUACUCUAUUGAGACUGCCGCUGACAAGGCGGAGGAAGGUGGGGACGACGUCAAGUCAUCAUGGCCCUUACGACCAGGGCUACACACGUGCUACAAUGGGUAUUACAGAGGGCUGCGAAGGUGCGAGCUGGAGCGAAACUCAAAAAGGUACUCUUAGUCCGGAUUGCAGUCUGCAACUCGACUGCAUGAAGUCGGAAUCGCUAGUAAUCGCAGGUCAGAAUACUGC
rnacentral:rRNA from 1 species